AGGGUUCGAUUCUGGCUCAGGAUGAACGCUGGCGGCGUGCCUAACACAUGCAAGUCGAACGGAGAUAUAACGCUGCAGAGACUUCGGUCAAAGCUUGUUGUAUCUUAGUGGCGGACGGGUGAGUAACGCGUGGGCAACCUGCCUCAUACUGGGGGAUAACAGUUGGAAACGGCUGUUAAUACCGCAUAAGCGCACAGGGCCGCAUGGUCUAGUGUGAAAAACUCCGGUGGUAUAGGAUGGUCCCGCGUCUGAUUAGCUAGUUGGUGAGGUAACGGCCCACCAAGGCGACGAUCAGUAGCCGGCCUGAGAGGGUGUACGGCCACAUUGGGACUGAGACACGGCCCAAACUCCUACGGGAGGCAGCAGUGGGGAAUAUUGGACAAUGGGGGAAACCCUGAUCCAAGCGACGCCGCGUGAACGAUGAAGUAUUUCGGUAUGUAAAGUUCUAUCAGCAGGGAAGAUAAUGACGGUACCUGACUAAGAAGCACCGGCUAAAUACGUGCCAGCCGCCGC
rnacentral:rRNA from 1 species